rnacentral:rRNA from 1 species
UACGGAGCGGCAGACGGGUGAGUAACGCGUGGGAACGUGCCUUUUGGUUCGGAACAACACAGGGAAACUUGUGCUAAUACCGGAUAAGCCUUACGGGGAAAGAUUUAUCGCCAAAAGAUCGGCCCGCGUCUGAUUAGCUAGUUGGUGAGGUAACGGCUCACCAAGGCGACGAUCAGUAGCUGGUCUGAGAGGAUGAUCAGCCACACUGGGACUGAGACACGGCCCAG